rnacentral:ncRNA from 2 species
ACUGAAUAUGACGGGAGCUUAUAAAAUAGGCUGAGAGGGUGGUUGAGUUACCACCGACCGAACCUGAUCUGGAUAAUGCCAGCGGAGGGAUGCAAGUGUAGACAUUA